rnacentral:rRNA from 1 species
GUGUGGCUAGAGCCGCUACGCAAUAAAUACCAUCAUUCCAAUACUUUAUUUCAGGUGACGAUGCAGUCAUCCACCGCGCCCUUUUGGAAGGGCUUGAUGAGAGUAGAGCAUGCGUUCUUUAACAGAGGUGGUUUUAAGGUAGGUGAUGGGACGACUAUGAGCUUAUGGGAGGAUUCAUGGUUGGGGGACAUGCCAUUAGCUUUACAGUAUCCCAGCCUUUGUAAUAUUACGCAGCAGAAAUAGGUUUUUGUUAGCCCAAUAUUAGGGACAAGCCACUUGAAUAUUCAGUUUGGAAGUACCUUAGUCGGGGAUAAGUGGACGACAUGAUUCAAUUUAGUUUGUCGCUUCAUGAGGAUCAACAUAACUAAUGAGUCAGAUUUAUUUCAAUGGCAGUUCCAUCCCUGUUGUAAAAUCCAUGUAUACGAACCUUACUAA